CGAGCAGUGCUUAGCGACGCGUGCAACUACUGUCUGGUGUGCUUACACGUGGUCUAUUUUUAUCCUUUGUAAAAGCCUGAAUCUUCAUCUCGUUUUCAGUUUCCCUUGCACAAAACAGUCUCCCAUAUACCAGGCGCCCGAGUGGCGAGAGUGCUCGCAGGAGCUCGAACCCGACCCCCCGCACGGAGAUCUGAAGCAGCAGCAGGACCUCGCCGGUGAGCCAGCUCCUCCGCGGUUCUCCCUCUCCUUCUACCCUCUCUCUCAUCACCCUCUCUUUUCUCUCUCGAACAGGACGCAGCAGCUGCACCAUAAGUCCAAACAAUGGCGCCGCCCUCAUGAAACAUGGAAGCAGAGGCUAACCCUUGCGGCGGCGGCGGCGUGUCUUUCCAGUGCUCCCCCUUGCGGCCUUCCCAGACUUGGUGUUUGCUUGGCGAGGCGACUCGAGCAGCAGCUCGAACGCACACAGUGCCUCCCCGUCGGCCCGGUACGCCGCCCGAGCGGGAGGCACCAGCGGACCGGAGAGGCGAGUAGUAGCACGCCCCAGCGGCAGCACUGGGCGGCAGCAGCCUCAUGCCCAGGAUAAGGGCACACGGCAGGUGCGGCGCGGCUGCAAUUCAGGGGCGGUAGCAGUUCUCGGCCGCAUCCAUGGCAGCCGCCGUGGCGUGCUCCUACUCGCGCGGCUGGUCCAUGGCUAUCGGCGCAUCGCAGGACAGGGACGACAGCAGUUCUAGGCCGCAUCCAUGGCCGACGGCGCGCGGUAGGGCGGGAGCGGCAGGGCGGGGGCGGCAGGGCGGCGUGCUCCUACUGGUGCUGCCGAUGCGGGCGAGGGAAGAGAGGAAUCAGGAGAGGUGCUCACGGGCGGCGCAAAUCGUCUCCUCGGUGGCCAAGGGGCUCGCCGGGGCGGCAGGGAAGGCCGGCUGCAGGGCGAGCUGGUAGGGGGCGCCGAGGGGAUCCGUUCCCGUGAGCGGCAUCCCGAGGAAGGCGCUGGAGUUGGCCGGAAUCGGGCGGUCAAUGGAAGGACGGGGGCGCCGCCAUUGAAGCGAGGGGAUCGAAGGUCGAGGAGGCCCUCCGUGUAGGAUCUAGGACCAUCGCGGACGCGGCGGCGGCGCGCCCAAGCUCGGGCGCCCCACUACAGGGCGGAGGGCCGGCGAGGGCCAGGCGGCGGGAGGAACGGCGGGGAGGGCAUGAGUAAGUCCUGCGCCGCCGCGACUGGAGACGGAGCAGGGGUUAAUUUGUAAAACCGAAUCGUUUAUUUAGAUAUCACUUAAAGAGGGAUUGCGGGUAUAAUUUUCAGAAAACGGAAGGAUGUUUUUGCAGAUCUGGGCUCGAACCGUUUUUCUCACUUUAAAAAGGACCGCGGGUUGAUUAUAGAAAAUCACAGGGACUUUUUUACAAAUUGACGACGACGGACGACCAGAAGCACUCCCUGCUUUAUUAGUAGGGAAAGAGGGAAAGACUAGUACAAAUGCCCGUGCGUUGCAACGGGCAUGGAAUCUUGCAAAAUCUACUCAAUGUGUCAAUAGGUACAACUUUUGGAUUGGAAUCAUUGUGACUUAUUAAAGUUAUCACGCUGGUAGGCUCGAAAAUAAAACAUGGGCAACUUUAUUCGCCGAACGUCGCACCCAACAAACCUUGGACUCCAUGAAGUCCUGAAGUUCUUUAUCAUUACGCACCAUUUCUUAUAUUCCGUUCUAAUAAACAUGAUUAUUGUUUCUCGGCUGAAUACUGGUCGUUAAGAAGCCACCUCGACAUUCUUCGGCUAAUUGAAGAAUAAUUUAUGGAAUAGUCUCUAAAUCUUUUUCUUUUCUUUUCGGCAAACAUGAACUUUUUUAAUAAAACAAAAUGGUUUAUAAAAAAAAGCAUUUUUCUGAACAUUUCUAAAUGCAUUUUUUAAAUGUAACAACUCUU
rnacentral:lncRNA from 1 species